GACGAACCGUGCGAACGUUGUUCGGAUUCACUGGGCUUAAAGGGCGCGUAGGCGGCGAUUCAAGUCCGGGGUGAAAGCUUUCGGCUCAACCGGAAAAGUGCCUCGGAUACUGGAUCGCUCGAGGAGGGUAGGGGCAGGCGGAACUUCCGGUGGAGCGGUGAAAUGCGUAGAUAUCGGAAGGAACGCCGGUGGCGAAAGCGGCCUGCUGGACCCUCCCUGACGCUGAGGCGCGAAAGCCAGGGGAGCAAACGGG
rnacentral:rRNA from 1 species